AGUGAACGCUGGCGGUAGGCCUAACACAUGCAAGUCGAACGGCAGCACAGUAAGAGCUUGCUCUUACGGGUGGCGAGUGGCGGACGGGUGAGGAAUACAUCGGAAUCUACUUUUUCGUGGGGGAUAACGUAGGGAAACUUACGCUAAUACCGCAUACGACCUACGGGUGAAAGCAGGGGAUCUUCGGACCUUGCGCGAUUGAAUGAGCCGAUGUCGGAUUAGCUAGUUGGCGGGGUAAAGGCCCACCAAGGCGACGAUCCGUAGCUGGUCUGAGAGGAUGAUCAGCCACACUGGAACUGAGACACGGUCCAGACUCCUACGGGAGGCAGCAGUGGGGAAUAUUGGACAAUGGGCGCAAGCCUGAUCCAGCCAUACCGCGUGGGUGAAGAAGGCCUUCGGGUUGUAAAGGCCUUUUGUUGGGAAAGAAAAGCAGCAGGUUAAUACCCCGCUGUUCUGACGGUACCCAAAGAAUAAGCACCGGCUAACUUCGUG
rnacentral:rRNA from 1 species